CUAGAAAGAACCAAGACGCGGCGAUAGAGCAACUUGCUGUUUGGGGAACCGCUAGGAAACUGGGAAGUGAAACUGGGGCGGUAUCUUCGUUUUUACGGAUUAAGUUACAAUGUAGCGCGUCCUAAUAGAUACAAGAGUGGAAGCUGAAUAGUUGUACGUGUAUUUUAAACUAGAGCUAUAAUAGAUGCGUUUCGUCCAUUACUAGAACUGUCAGAUUUGAUUGAGAGAGUUAAGGUGUGGCUGUCUUCAAAACGUUUUUUUUUCUUCUUCAAGGCUUUCCUCUGAACUAAAUGCUUAUAAUAAUAAAGCUUGACAUAUUUACAAUGAGAAGUAGCUUAGCUGAUCGAUUUUCAACAAUAAUGGCGCAUUUGAAAAAGGAAGCAUUCGAUUAUACGACCUACAGUGCCACCUCGACAAGGAUAAUGUGCAUUAUUCUAAACAUUACCGAUGGAGUCUAUUCUGCUAUUAUUUGGAUGAUUAUAACAAGUAUUUAAUAAUCGUGUAGGUUAAUUCGCUGUAUAAUGUUUUGAAAUGGACGUAGCAACUUUACAGUCGUAUCGCAUUCUACAUAUGAAAGGCUAAUCAACGGACCUGUGGGGGAGUAGGCCUAGUUGGUGAUUAUAGAGCUAUUCUCGCACGAUAAUCGAUUUUUUAAAAAAUAUUUAGAUUUUUUUCCCUUUAUGAUCAAUGGCGAUACUUGUAACUAGUCUACUGCCAUUUUGAGUCCCACCGAGGAAAUAAAUUAAUCUUACCUACAGAAACAAGUAAGUGCGUCAAUAUUAAUUUAAAAACGUUUAAAUGUCUUUAUGAGUGUGGAAUAACCUUAACUGAAUAUAAUCAAGUAAUCUAGAUAGGCUGCAAUUAAGAGAUAAAAUAGAGCGUCAAAUGAACCCGGAUGAUUAUAUGCCUACUGAGAAUAUUGCCAUAACUGUUACUAAUGAAGCAAAUUGAAUGUUACAAAUUAUGUAAUUAAAUAGUUGACUUGCAGUUCCAUUUGGACUAUAUGUAGUCCGCUGGUCUGUAGGCGGUGCAAUAAUUACCAUAAUACUUAAUUCAAUACAUCAGUGAAUUGAAUAUUAGAUUUAUGAGUUAUUUCAAAGGACAUCUCAUAUAGGCUAAACGUUAAAUGGAUUGGAUUAUGGACACUUCUAUUGCGUGCAUUCGUGUCCUAUAGAGUCUACGGGCGUGCCCAUCAAUUAGCCUACUUGUGAAGAAGAAUGGGGCCAGAGGGGCCAGAAUAAGAUUCGGUCAUAUUUUUCAAAAAUAUGUAAAAUAUCAAGAUCAUUCCUGUACUGUAAAAACGUGUUAAAAUACCUAUUCAUAGAUCUGAUGUUUGACUUAUUAACUUUUAGCAUUUAGUAGUAGGGUAGACUAAAUACAUAAUGAAUUUAACCUUACUCAUAUCUUUUCAUUAUUUAGUUACAGUAAAUCCCUGUAAUUUGCUUUAAUUUGAUUUAAAGGAGAGAAUUGCAGAGCGAAUUCCUCAAGGCCCCACCCUUUACAGCAAAACAUGGAUGUGGAUCACAAUUUCCCCCAGAAGUUUCUUGUUUCCCUUUUUCCUCUCUCUAACUUUACGUUGCCAAGUGUGUAACCAUAGGCCCUGCUUUAAGUGGAGAGAACCUGUAACCUUCCAUAUACACUGGCUGGCAACCCCCUAAAGAUCAAGCCGCAGGAUCUUCAUUCAAACUCCAAUGAGUCUCCCUUCCUUUGAUCAAGAUUCCACCUCUGCCAACCCUGAUGGACAAAAAUGAAGAAGAUGUAGCCUAGUGUGUGUGUGUUUUUGUACAUGUUGCGUGGGUGCUCACUGGCUGACCCACAGCAGUUCUUCACUGGCAAGCUUUAUGUCCUUGUGUACCAACUAAAGCUGCCAGCUGAAGAACUGUUGUGGUUGGCUCUUUCCUGCAUCCCACACAGAAGACCAAGAGAUGCCUUCGAGAAGUGUGUGUGUGUGUGUGUGUGUGUCCAGAUGCCAUGCAUCGGAUCAGUGAAUUCUCCAUCCAGAUGUUCCAUUUUACAGCCAAUGGUAGCAGUGUACAGUAUGUUUCGAGGUAAAUACAGCACACGUGAAGAUUAGGCUAAACAGAAUAGCUAGCUAUCCAAGACAUCUGAUAUGAGGCAAUAGGUCUCAGUUAAAAACACAUGAACCCACUGCACUCAAAUGUAAUGUUUUCAUUAAGUCUUCUGCUCAUGUUGCAGAGCUAAUGAAGGCUCUAAGUAUGAAAAAUGCGUACAAACUAUGAAAUAUGUUUACUAAGUAUGAAGUUUGCUUACUAAAUAUCAAGUAUGGUCCCAAAGUAUGAGGUACGCUUACUUUAAGUAUGCUUACUGAAGACAGAUUUUACUAUAUGUGUGCUGUAUUUUUCUCUAUUUACACUAUAUAUUGUAUUUAGUUUUAUGUAUGUAUACUCAAGAGUUUUAUGUAUGCUUUCAUGUACAAUGUGAGCUCUUUUAAACCAUGCUAUCAGCAUCAACUGCCCCCACAAAUGGCUGCUUUAUUCUACUCAGGCAUUAACAAAGACGACUGCACAUUGAUGCUACUGUACAUGCUGAGUCAGCCAACAUUCCACACCCCAGCCAGGACCCGCCUGCUGCCCUUAUAUAGAUUGAAGCUGCAUGGUGGGGCAUCAUGGGUGCCACAUUGUAUAUCAGAACAAAACAUCUCUAGAAUAAUUUCUUAUGCUACUCAAAAACAACAAAAAGUAGAAGGAUAGGAAGGUAGAUGGACUGGCUACUCAAAACCUAGAAGUAUGUAAAGCAUAGGAUGAUUUAAUGAUACAGUAUGAUAGAUUGGGGAAAGGAUAGGAGGAUAGAUGGAGGGAAUGUUAGGAGGAUAGAUGGAUGGAUGAAAGGGAAAGAAGGAGGGAGGGAGAACAAGGCAAGGACAUACGACAAACAGCUGGACAAAACCAGCCUCCUGACAUGCUGGUAAAGGCAAUUUGUGGCAUUGUUCUAGACUUAGCUGUGCUGUUUGUUUCAAACCAUGAUGACUGCUCAGGCCCUCUCUGUUCCCUUUCUCUCUCCCUCUCUGUUCUCUUUCUCUCUCUACUCACUUUCUAUGUGUGUGUCUCUCUCUAACUCUUUCUAUUUGACUCAUUCUCUCUCUUUCUCCCUCUCUCUGUCACACACCCCCACAUGCGCACACACACACAGCAUACCAUACAUCUGACUUCAAGGGCGGUGUUGGCGUCGGCAAGAACAGGAUAUGAGAGCGUGUCACUCUAAAAACCUUCCCCUCCAGAUGAGAACAAAGGUAGAGAAUGUUCCAGAUUCCCUGGCCGCAGUCUAGGAACAUGUGGAGCCAAGAGUUGGCCAACGAGCAGUCCUUAUCUUUUCCCCCUUCUUUCCAUGCAUUUUCUCUCUGUUCUCUAGCUUGUCCAUCUCUGUUUUUGGCCUCUUGGUAAACUAGCUUUUUGUUUCAUACUAUUAUCUCUUUGUUAGUUCAUCUGCUUCAAUCUCCAUAUCUUGUUGUCUUGUCACUCUUCUCAUUAUUUCUCCCCUCUUCUGUCUAGCAUCCCUCUUAAAACACACACAAA